GUGCUUGCUUCGGCAGCACAUGUACUAAAAUUGGAACAAUAUGGAGAAGAUUAGGACAGCCCCUGCGCAAGGGUGACACGCAAAUUCAUGAAGCUUCCAUAUUUUUA
ensembl:snRNA U6 U6 spliceosomal RNA